rnacentral:rRNA from 1 species
UACGGGGGGGGGCAAGCGUUGUUCGGAAUUACUGGGCGUAAAGGGCUCGUAGGCGGCCAACUAAGUCAGACGUGAAAUCCCUCGGCUUAACCGGGGAACUGCAUCUGAUACUGGAUGGCUUGAGUUCGGGAGAGGAUGCGGAAUUCCAGGUGUAGCGGUGAAAUGCGUAGAUAUCUGGAGGAACACCGGUGGCGAAGGCGGCAUCCUGGACCGACACUGACGCUGAGGAGCGAAAGCCAGGGG